UACGAAGGGGGCUAGCGUUGCUCGGAAUCACUGGGCGUAAAGCGCACGUAGGCGGCUUGCUAAGUCAGGGGUGAAAUCCUGGAGCUCAACUCCAGAACUGCCUUUGAUACUGGCGACCUUGAGUCCGGGAGAGGUGAGUGGAACUGCGAGUGUAGAGGUGAAAUUCGUAGAUAUUCGCAAGAACACCAGUGGCGAAGGCGGCUCACUGGCCCGAUACUGACGCUGAGGUGCGAAAGCGUGGGGAGCAAACAGG
rnacentral:rRNA from 1 species